UACGUAGGGGGCAAGCGUUGUCCGGAUUUACUGGGUGUAAAGGGCGCGCAGGCGGACUGACAAGUCAGAGGUGAAAUCCUGCAGCUUAACUGCAGAACUGCCUUUGAAACUGUCAGUCUUGAGUACGGAAGAGAGAGACGGAAUUCCAGGUGUAGUGGUGAAAUACGUAGAUAUCUGGAAGAACACCAGUUGCGAAGGCGGUCUCUUGGUCCGUUACUGACGCUCAGGCGCGAAAGCGUGGGUAGCAAAC
rnacentral:rRNA from 1 species